rnacentral:rRNA from 1 species
AGUGGCAGACGGGUGAGUAACGCGUGGGAACGUACCUUUUGGUUCGGAACAACUGAGGGAAACUUCAGCUAAUACCGGAUAAGCCCUUACGGGGAAAGAUUUAUCGCCGAAAGAUCGGCCCGCGUCUGAUUAGCUAGUUGGUGAGGUAAUGGCUCACCAAGGCGACGAUCAGUAGCUGGUCUGAGAGGAUGAUCAGCCACAUUGGGACUGAGACACGGCCCAAACUCAUACGGGAGGCAGCAGUGGGGAAUAUUGGACAAUGGGGGCAACCCUGAUCCAGCCAUGCCGCGUGAGUGAUGAAGGCCCUAGGGUUGUAAAGCUCUUUUGUGCGGGAAGAUAAUGACGGUACCGCAAGAAUAAGCCCCGGCUAACUUCGUGCCAGCAGCCGCGGUAAUACGAAGGGGGCUAGCGUUGCUCGGAAUCACUGGGCGUAAAGGGUGCGUAGGCGGGUUUCUAAGUCAGAGGUGAAAGCCUGGAGCUCAACUCCAGAACUGCCUUUGAUACUGGAAGUCUUGAGUAUGGCAGAGGUGAGUGGAACUGCGAGUGUAGAGGUGAAAUUCGUAGAUAUUCGCAAGAACACCAGUGGCGAAGGCGGCUCACUGGGCCAUUACUUGACGCUGAGGCACGAAAGCGUGGGGAGCAAACAGGAUUAAGAUACCCUUGGUAGUCCACGCCCGUAAACC